rnacentral:rRNA from 1 species
GAUGAACGCUGGCGGCGUGCCUAAUACAUGCAAGUCGAGCGAACAGACGAGGAGCUUGCUCCUCUGACGUUAGCGGCGGACGGGUGAGUAACACGUGGAUAACCUACCUAUAAGACUGGGAUAACUUCGGGAAACCGGAGCUAAUACCGGAUAAUAUAUUGAACCGCAUGGUUCAAUAGUGAAAGACGGUUUUGCUGUCACUUAUAGAUGGAUCCGCGCCGCAUUAGCUAGUUGGUAAGGUAACGGCUUACCAAGGCGACGAUGCGUAGCCGACCUGAGAGGGUGAUCGACCACACUGAAACUGAGACACGGUCCAGGCUCCAACGGGAGGCAGCAGUAGGGAAUCUUCCGCAAUGGGAGAAAGCCUGACGGAGCAACGCCGCGUGAGUGAUGAAGGUCUUCGGAUCGUAAAACUCUGUUGUUAGGGAAGAACAGAUGUGUAAGUAACUAUGCACGUCUUGACGGUACCUGAUCAGAAAGCCACGGCUAGCUACGU